ACAGAUCUUGGUGGUAGUAGCAAAUAAUCGAAUGAGACCUUGGAGGACUGAAGUGGAGAAGGGUUUCGUGUGAACAGUGGUUGAUCACGAGUUAGUCGGUCCUAAGUUCAAGGCGAAAGCCGAAAAAUGAUUAAGUAUAUUUUACUAUAUAAUAGUUUUACUUAAUAUAUUUUUGAACGAAAGGGAAUACGGUUCCAAUUCCGUAACCUGUUUGAGUAUACGUUUGUUAUUAAAAAUGGGCUCUAUGCUCAUCCUGGCAACAGAAACAACCAUAAAGAAGCCGUCGAGAGAUAUCGAAAGAGUUUUCUUUUCUGUUUUAUAGUCGUAUCACCAUGGAAGUUUUCCGAAGAGAGAUAUGGUGAAUGGACUAGAAGAGCAUGGCAUUUACUGCUGUGUCGAUAUUUUCUCCUCGGACCUUGAAAAUUUAUGGUGGGGUCACGCAAACUUCUUAACAGGCCGUACCGAUAUCCGCAGCUGGUCUCCAAGGUGAAGGUCUCUAGUCGAUAGAAUAAUGUAGGUAAGGGAAGUCGGCAAAUUAGAUCCGUAACUUCGGGAUAAGGAUUGGCUCUGAAGAUUGAGAUAGUCGGGCUUGAUUGGGAAGCAAUAAAAUGGUUUAUGUACUCGUUCUGGGUAAAUUAGGACUUAUACAAUAUCAUAUUGUGUUUGUCUGUUCCCCGGAUAGAAGUUUACGUAACCAAUUGCGGAACUUUCUUGCUAAUAAUUUGUAAAAAGAAUUUUUACAUAUUUAUAACGGCUAUCAAUUAACAAUCAAUUCAGAACUGGCACGGACUUGGGGAAUCCGACUGUCUAAUUAAAACAAAGCAUUGUGAUGGCCCUAACGGGUGUUGACACAAUGUGAUUUCUGCCCAGUGCUCUGAAUGUCAAAGUGAAGAAAUUCAAGUAAGCGCGGGUAAACGGCGGGAGUAACUAUGACUCUCUUAAGGUAGCCAAAUGCCUCGUCAUCUAAUUAGUGACGCGCAUGAAUGGAUUAACGAGA
rnacentral:rRNA from 1 species